rnacentral:rRNA from 1 species
GACAGAGGGUGCAAACGUUGCUCGGAAUCACUGGGCGUAAAGGGCGUGUAGGCGGGGAGGUAAGUCGGGCGUGAAAUCCCUAGGCUCAACCUAGGAACUGCACUCGAAACUACCUUCCUUGAGUGUCGGAGAGGAAAGCGGAAUUCCUGGUGUAGAGGUGAAAUUCGUAGAUAUCAGGAGGAACACCAGUGGCGAAGGCGGCUUUCUGGACGAUAACUGACGCUGAGACGCGAAAGCGUGGGGAGCAAACAGG